CCAAUAGCGUAUAUUAAAGUUGUUGCAGUUAAAAAGCUCGUAGUUGAAUUUCGGGAUCAGUACGCUGGUCGUGCCUUCGGUAUGCACUGGUGUCACUGGUUCCUACCUUCUGAAGAACCAUCAUGCCAUUCAGUUGGUGUGGCGGGGAAUCAGGACUGUUACUUUGAAAAAAUUAGAGUGUUUAAAGCAGGCUCGCGCUUGAAUACAUUAGCAUGGAAUAAUGAAAUAGGACGUUUGACCCUAUUUUGUUGGUUUCUAGGAUCGACGUAAUGAUUAAUAGGGAUAGUUGGGGGCAUUAGUAUUCAAUUGUCAGAGGUGAAAUUCUUGGAUUUAUUGAAGACUAACUACUGCGAAAGCAUUUGCCAAGGAUGUUUUCAUUAAUCAAGAACGAAAGUUAGGGGGAUCGAAGACGAUCAGAUACCGUCGUAGUCUUAACCAUAAACUAUGCCGACUAGGGAUCGGAUGAUGUUAAUUUUUUAAUGACUCAUUCGGCGCCUUACG
rnacentral:rRNA from 1 species